GACGAACGCUGGCGGCAUGCCUUACACAUGCAAGUCGAACGGCAACAGGUCUUCGGAUGCUGACGAGUGGCGAACGGGUGAGUAAUACAUCGGAACGUGCCUAGUAGUGGGGGAUAACUACUCGAAAGAGUGGCUAAUACCGCAUGAGAUCUACGGAUGAAAGCAGGGGAUCGCAAGACCUUGUGCUACUAGAGCGGCCGAUGGCAGAUUAGGUAGUGGGUGGGAUAAAAGCUUACCAAGCCGACGAUCUGUAGCUGGUCUGAGAGGACGAUCAGCCACACUGGGACUGAGACACGGCCCAGACUCCUACGGGAGGCAGCAGUGGGGAAUUUUGGACAAUGGGCGCAAGCCUGAUCCAGCAAUGCCGCGUGCAGGAUGAAGGCCUUCGGGUUGUAAACUGCUUUUGUACGGAACGAAAAGCCCUGGGUUAAUACCCUGGGGUCAUGACGGUACCGUAAGAAUAAGCACCGGCUAACUACGUGCCAGCCGCCGCAGUAA
rnacentral:rRNA from 1 species